GUCACGUCCCGCGCCAGCUUUGGAUGAAGAGUGGCCCAAACAGAAGGACACAGCUUCAGUCAGACUCACUUUACAAGGCUGUCAAAGACGCAAGCACCAGCUGCGAGAGUAGACCUGAAACGAGCACGUGGAGCUGGCUCCACACGCAUCUUCACCGGUGAGGGCCUCCUGACUAGAGCGCGAAAGAGGCUCCCCCACAAGCCUGCCAACACGCUCCCAGAUUUCCAUGAGCGGCCGAGUCCACCUUGACCCGCAGCCCACGCCGGUGCAGGGCCAGGCCAAAAACCUGCUGGAUUUGCCAAUUGGAAGUACUGACCUACGACUUACCCGUUCCCGAUGCAUUCGGACAGGGGAUUCCGGAGUGAAGCUGCUCCACUCUGGGACAGGUGCCAAUUGCUCACAAAAGGCGAGUGAAAAUAUCAGUGAUCUGCACAAGGAAACGUCGGGGGUGAGUGGAAAAUGCAAACUCGCAUGCAUCCGUGCAACUAACGCAGAAAAAAGUGAAGGAUGGUUGCGAGGGGAGGGGAAGACACAGAAAAAGAGGAUCGUGAAAGAAGAGGUGGGGGCGUUUAUUCAAGCCUGUUUGAUGCUCCUCGGGCCUUCGAGAGCCGAUCGCAUGUGCCGUGGUAACUGCGGGACCAUUUGCAUGUGGCAGACACGCUAA
ensembl:lncRNA